GACGAACGCUGGCGGUGUGCUUCACACAUGCAAGUCGAACGAGUGACUGCUUUGUAGCAAUACAAAGUAGAAGCUAGUGGCGGACGGGUGAGUAACGCGUAGGAAUCUGCCUUUGAGUGGGGGAUAGCAGACCGAAAGGUCUAUUAAUACCGCAUACGUAUAUACUUCGACAGUUGUAUAUAUAAAAGAGCAAUCUGCUCAUAGAUGAGCCNGCGUCCGAUUAGCUAGUUGGUAGUGUAAUAGACUACCAAGGCGACGAUCGGUAGGUGGUCUGAGAGGAUGAUCACCCACAAUGGAACUGAGACACGGUCCAUACUCCUACGGGAGCAGCAGUGGGAAUUUUGUGCAAUGGGGAAACCCUGACACAGCGACACCGCGUGAGCG
rnacentral:rRNA from 1 species